rnacentral:misc_RNA from 1 species
GAUGAAGAACGUAGCGAAAUGCGAUAAGUAAUGUGAAUUGCAGAAUUCCGUGAAUCAUCGAAUCUUUGAACGCAUAUUGCGCCCCCUGGUAUUCCGGGGGGCAUGCCUGUCCGAGCGUCAUUGCUGCCCUCAAGCACGGCUUGUGUGUUGGGCCUCCGUCCUCCUCCCGGGGGACGGGCCCGAAAGGCAGCGGCGGCACCGCGUCCGGUCCUCGAGCGUAUGGGGCUUCGUCACCCGCUCUUGUAGGCCCGGCCGGCGCUUGCCGACACAUCAAUCUUUUUUCCAGGUUGACCUCGGAUCAGGUAGGGAUACCCGCUGAACUUAAGCAUAUCAAUAAGCGGAGGA